AGCCCCACCUUUAACGGAGGCAGAGGAGCUGCCCCCCCCCCCUCGACGAUCGCAACCCCCACCCCGUAGCAGCGAUCGUCGGACUGGUGUGUGUGUGUGUGUGUGUGUGUGUGUGUGUGUGUGUGUGUGUGUGUCUGAGGGGGGGGGGGGGGAUUUGCGAUCGGACCGGCCGCGAUCGUCGAACGGGGGGGGUGGGGGGCAGCUCCUCUGCCUCCGUUAAAGGUGGGGCUGCUGGACCACCACCUGUUUUUGUGUUAGUUUAAUAUUCCUAAUCAUUUAACGGAACAUAAUAAGAGAGUAAAAUUCAGUUUUGAGUGUGAAAAGAGCAUUUUUUAAGGGAUCAAAUUGCCACUUACAGUUUUUCUCAGUCGCUUUGGUACAUUUCUCGAAUCAUCCUCGACAUUUGCAAAACAGUAAGUGCAUUUCUCAAAACAAUUUGUACAAAUAGCAAAACACCAUGGAUUAGCUGCAAAAGUCAGUCUCUUGCUCAAAAUCCUUAGUACAUCUCUCAAAAGUAAAUAUCUGUGUCAAUGAACAUGUCAGUGCCAUCAGAAUGACAAGUCCUUGUGUCAUUGUGUACGGAUAAGACAGUCAAAUUGCUUAGUCAUGUUGUCAAUAUAACAGUGUACUCUGGAGGGAUGUUAUGAUGUAAACUAUGGCUAAAGUUUUGAUGACAAUCAUUGUAAAUUGUAAGUUACACCUCAGUGUAUGUGGGAGAUUGAUUGCAAGAGACUGUAAUUUGAUGACAGACCAUAUUUAUUGCGAUACAGAAAAGAAAAAGACAGCACUGCAGAGCACAAUGAAAAAACAAAAGUAGAAAUGUGAACAUAGGACAAUUUCCUUAGGGAAAACUGUAAAUGCAGUGCUGUAGGAAUUACAGUGCAGUCUUCCUACACCUCCUGACGUUCCUGUCUGUUGGGCCACAAAUUCUCAUCCACAUCACAACGAAUAUCUUCUCUGGCGAUGCAGCGUGGAAAGAAUCUUUUACUGUGUCUUAUCCAGCCUCUGCAGGCAUCUGCUGUGAUGCCAUCACAUGCUGCAUCCAUGGCAGCCAGAAGGGUCAUCUGUGUAUGUGGCUGGUGAUCAUAUACUUUCC